AAAUCAUAAUGAGGGUACUUUCUAAUCUUGUCCUUAAAUCUUUCCCAAUUAUUAUAAAUAAAGUCUCCUUCAAACUAGGAAAAAGAAGUUAUAUCAUUCCUAAGCUU